UCUUCUCCGGCAUUUCCCCAUUUUUCCAGACUCCAAUCCCCCAUUUCUUCUUUAUCGAUUAGCGACUUUGCCCUAAUCCUCCACCCAGGUACCUUGUCCGUCCAUCGUAGCAUCUCCAUCAACAAACGACAGUCUUUCUCUUCCCUCUGCCCGCUGCUGCUGCACUGUAGACCCUCUUCGAGCUCCUCGACAUCUCCCUGAGUUGAGUCCGAGUUCCUGACGAUGAACCCUUUGAGCCCACGACAGCUCUUGAGCUGUCUUGCCCUGCCUGAGCUUCGACUGUCCGAGCUUCCACCGAACCAGCUUGACUAGGUGCAGGUUGCUCUGCCCGAGCUUUGACCAGAGCAGGUUCCUUCUGUGUUCUGGCUUCUUCGACCAGGUAGGCGAGUACGGUAUCUUCUUGCUCUGCCUAACAAACUGACUAUGAACUAGUUCCUCGAGGUAAAACUUUUAUCCUAUUGAGAAAUCAGGAGAUUAAGAAGGUUCAUCUCGUUCAAGACUUCAAGUUAGCCGCAUACUCUGUUUUCAUCAACCUCGAUUGCUACCUCAACUCUAAGCAUGAAUUUUGUUGUACACUCUUCUAUCUUGGUAUGGACUUAGCCUGCUUAAGUUAAUUACAAUUUGUAUUUUCUCCGACCCCAACAGUCUAUGCAAGCAAAUUUCUUCAAGUUCCACUUAUCAGAGUCAAGGACUUACACAUUUGAGCAAACUAUCAAGUAGCGUGUGAGACCUGGCAAAAAAUAAAAAAAUAAAAAAAGAAGGGAUGUAUAACUUGUUUAUUCGUGGACUUGCCCACACCCUAUCACUCUUCCCUAUCACCUUCUCUACCGCCUCAGCCUUUCAUUUCUCAUUUUUUUCCAUUUUUUUUCUUUUCUCUUUUUGGGUUCUGGUUGGUUCGAAAGAAAAGAAAGAGAGAGAGAAAGAGAGAGAGAGAGAGUGAUCUGAGCGAACUGAAGAGGAAGAAGAAGAUGAGGAAGAGGAAGAGAAGAAUAGCUUCGACAAGCGAUCUCUUUUUUUUUUCUAUAACUCGAUUUCAGUGGAGGUUUGUGAAUCUUUUGCCUUGCUUUCUUCCUGAAGUUCUGAUUAGGGGAUCACGUAUGUGUUCAUAUAACUAAAAGAUGUCUCAUGCAUGAAGCUGGAGAUUUCAUCGAUUUUGUGUUCUAAUCUUGGCUGUAAAAUGUGAUCUGUUUCUCAUUCUUCAACUUUUAAGCUUCCCCGGGACCUAGAUUGAUCGUGCUAGUUCCAAUUUUUAAUUUUGUCCAUGCUUUUGCAUCAGAUAUGGACUGAUUCCCAUAAAAAAAAAAGAUUUGGACUGAGUCCGGGAUGUACAAGCAAGCCUUUCGAGGAUGAGCGGAGUCUAGGAUUUCUGAGAAGCUUCUGUUUGGAUUACAUUUUUUUUUUCUGGAGCUAAGGAGACUGAGUCUAUACAACUUGAGGCUCUUCUCUUUGAAUAAAUUUUUGGGCACAGUACUCUAUUCCCUUGUGAAGUGAUGUAUUAUAGUAUAUAAAUUAUUUAAAAAGAAUAUGGUAAUAGUUAGAUUAAAGGAUUAGUUUUGUUAUGUUGGGUGAAAUGAUUUGAAAGGUAUUGCCUUUGAUGUUUCAUUUUGACUUGAGAUAUGUAGUGUGAUUGUGUAUGAGAUAUGUGAUAAUAAUGUAAUACUUUGUAAUGUGUUUGGGAUUGAGUUUAUGUGUAUUGAUAUUAUUUGAUUAUAGCCAUGGGGCUACUGGACCCGACGGGAUAGAAAAUGAGGCCUUAAUGCCGCUAGAUCCGGCGGAAUAAAAAAUGGGGCCUUAACGGUCGCUGGACCCGGUGGAAUAGAAAAUGAGGCUCAAAUGACCACUGGACCCGGCGGAAUAGAAAACGGGACUCAAACGGUCGUUGGACCCGGCGGAAUAGAAAAUAGGGCCUAAACGGCCACUGGUCCCGGCGGAAUAGAAACUAGGGCCCAAAUGGUCAGUAGACCUGGAGGAAUAGAAAAUGGGGUCCGAACAGCCGCUAGACCCCAACGGAAUAGAAAAUGGGGUUUGAAUGAGAUGCGUAGGGUCACGGUACCGUCUUAAAUUAUCAUAAGGGAAUGCAAUCCUAUAUCUAUAUUGAUUGGUUGUAUAGUAUGUUGUUUGUUUGGUCUGAUUGCUGGAGAUGUGAUGAUUAUUGAAAUUGUCUGAGAUUGUACUUCUACAACCAGUUGAGAGUUUAUGAUUGCUGGAGAUGGGUUAAUUUAUUCUCAUAUUUGUACUUCUACAACCAGUUGAGAGUUUAUGAUGUUGCAAGAUAUGAGUUCAGCAUGGGUUCAUUGUUCUAUAUUAUUGCUAUUAUCAGAGUUACGCAUGGGUUUCUAGUAUUCUAAAUUAAUUAUUGGUCAGCUUAUUUGAUUUGCGGGUUAAAAAUUUGUUUGUCUCGCUAGAUACUUUUGAUCAUCUUCUUUAUGGUUGCUUUCAAGAUAGAGAUUUGGAUAUUCUAUAAGAUUUGGGCUCAGCGGAAGCUUGAUGACCCAUGAAGGUGUUUUAAAAAACUUAGUUCAUAGGAGAUAUAGGGGCCUUAGUAUGUUAUAAUCGUUAAUGCUCUUAACUAUUCUGGUUCCUCAAACAAAUUUCGAGGACGAAAUUUUUAUUAGUGAGGGAGAUUGUGAGACCCGGCAAAAAAUAUAAAAUAAAAAGAAGGGAUGUAUAACUUGUUUAUCAUGGACUUGCCCACACCCUGUCACUCUUCCCUAUCUUCUUCUCCACUGCCUCAGCCUUUCAUUUCUCAUUUUUUUUCCAUUGUUUUUCUUCUCUUUUUGGGUUCUGGUUGGUUCGAAAGAAAAGAAACAGAGAGGAGAGAGAGAGAGAUCUGAGCGAACUGAAGGGGAAGAAGAAGAGGAGGAAGAGGAAGAGAAGAAUAGCUUCGAGAAGCUUUUGCUUUGAUCUCCAUUUUUUUUCUAUAACUUGAUUUCAGUGGAGAUAUGGACUGAAUCCCAUUAAAAAAAAAAGAUUUGGACUGAUUCUGGGAUGUACAAGCAAGCCUUUCGAGGAUGAGCGGAGUCUAGGAUUUCUGAGAAGCUUCUGUUUGGAUUACAUUUUUUUUUCCUGGUAACUGGACUGGACCAAUUCGACUUUGGUGAAUUAUUGUGAUUUUUUUUUCUGUUUGUUUA